rnacentral:rRNA from 1 species
GCAGCCACUCAUUCAAAGAGUGCGUAAUAGCUCACUGGUCGAGUGAUCCUGCGCCGAAGAUUUCCGGGGCUAAAACUUACUACCGAAGCUACGGCAUCAGUAAUGAUGGGUAGGGGAGCUUCCCAUACGGGUUGAAGCAUGACCGUAAGGACAUGUGGACAGUAUGGGAGUGAGAAUGUUGGCAUGAGUAGCGAGAUGUGGGUGAGAAUCCCACAGGCCGUAAACCCAAGGUUUCCAGGGGAAGGUUCGUCCGCCCUGGGUUAGUCGGGACCUAAGCUGAGGCCGAAAGGCGUAGGUGAUGGACAACAGGUUGAUAUUCCUGUACUACCGAUAACCGUUUGAGAGAAGGGAUGACACAGUAGGAUAAGCUAAGCACACUGUUGGUUAUGUGUGCCCAAGCAUUGAGGCAGUCAAAGUAGGCAAAUCCGCUUUGAUAAUGCUAGGAUUUGAUGGGGAGCGAAAUUUAGUAGCGAAGUAGCUGAUUUCACACUGUCAAGAAAAGUCUCUAUCGAGGUUAAAGGUACCCGUACCGCCACCCGACACAGGUGGUUGAGGAGAGUAUCCUAAGGCCAGCGAGAGAACUGUUGUUAAGGAACUCGGCAAAAUGACCCCGUAACUUAGGGAUAAGGGGUGCCACCAUCCGGUGGCCGCAGAGAAUAGG